rnacentral:misc_RNA from 1 species
AACGCACCUUGCGCUCCUUGGCAUUCCGAGGAGCAUGCCUGUUCGAGUGUCAUGUUAAUCCUCAACCCUUGGGUUGGACUAUGGACGCUGCGGCGGCCCGCCUCCGCUCGUCCCAAACUUAUUAGGGGCCGCGCGAUCCGCCCGUCGGCGUUUAGUAAUGCUUGCGCCGCGCCAAGGUUCGGCGCCCUUUCCGCCGUCCCUGUGACUUUGACUUUCUGGCCUCGAAUCAGGUAGGACUACCCGCCGAACUUAA